CUGAAGCGGCUGCAGCCCCAGGCACGUUCACAGCCCUCAAGGCAGGUGCAGCUGCAGCUGCAGAAGCAGGCCCAGACACAGACGUAUCCACAGGUCCACACACAAGCACAGCCAAGGGUCCAGCCACAGGAGCAGCCUCCAGCGCAGGUGUCAGUACAGCCACCAGAGCAGACCCAUGAGCAGCCUCAGACCCAGCCACAGGUGUCGUUGCUGGCUCCAGAGCAAACACCAGGUGUGGUUCAUGUCUGCGGGCUGGAGAUGCCACCUGAUGCAGUGGAAGCUGGUGGAGGUAAGUGAGCACUGGCUCCCAGCUGGUCUGGUGAUGGGACAGCUCUGCCCAGACCCUUCAUUCCUCCCCUGACUGGGUGCUGCCUGGGACUGAGGGCUAGGCCUGGAAUCCAGGUCCAGGGCCAUCCAUGCCGGGGGCCUCAAGGUUCUGGCUGCAGACGGAGAAGGCAGCUCUUGGGCCUGGGGGACUCUGAGAAACAGAGCACAUCUGUCAUUUCAGGCAUGGAAAAGACCUUGCCGGAGCCUGUGGGCACCCAAGUCAGCAUGGAAGAGAUUCAGAAGGAGUCGGCCUGUGGCCUAGAUGUGGGAGAAUGUGAAAACAGAGCGAGAGAGAUGCCAGGGGUAUGGGGCGCCGGGGGCUCCCUGAAGGUCACCAUUCUGCAGAGCAGUGACAGCCGGGCCUUUAGCACUGUACCCCUGACACCUGUCCCCCGCCCCAGUGACUCCGUCUCCUCCACCCCUGCGGCUACCAGCACUCCCUCUAAGCAGGCCCUCCAGUUCUUCUGCUACAUCUGCAAGGCCAGCUGCUCCAGCCAG
rnacentral:sRNA from 1 species